rnacentral:lncRNA from 1 species
CUUUGCUCCCGGCAUGAUAGAGUAAAAACUCAGCUGCAGCACUGACUUUGAAGUGGAAGGAUAUAAGCAGUGGGAGCUGAAGUUAUUCAGAUACACAGAGCAAGGCCUUCGGACGAGAGCUUUGAUGAGUCCUGAAGCAACUGAAGUCAUGAAUACGCAUAAGUUAUAACUUACAAGGCAAGCUAUUUGGGACAGAAGAUAAGGCAUCCACUUCUUAGGAAAAAUGAGCUACGCGCUCUACGGUGUCUGGGGCAACAGAGAUGAGAAGGGUAGCUGGAGCUCAUUAACAACAGAGUGUUAAGAGUAAAGAUUUACAACCUCUUGAUGCCAACAUCUCUACCUAACUUCAAUUUCCCAUUUUGAUACCUUGGUUCCUGCUCUCUCACAAUGCCUUAUUCUUUGGAUCUCAAGGCCUGACUCAUCUUUAUUACCGCUUUAGCAUUUGCACCCUUAUAAUAAAUCAUUAACUCUGGAG